rnacentral:rRNA from 1 species
AUUGCUGGGUAGCUAAAUGCGGAAGAGAUAAGUGCUGAAAGCAUCUAAGCACGAAACUUGCCAAGAGAUGAGUCAUCCCUGACUUUAAGUCAGUAAGGGUUGUUGUAGACUACGACGUAGAUAGGUCUAGUGUGUAAGUGUAGUGAUACAUUGAGCUAACAGAUACUAAUUGCCCGAGAGGCUUAACUAUACAACGCUCAAG